UUGGCACAGUGUCUUUGUCCAUCGCUUGGUAUGGCAGGAUUUAUAGCGAUUCCAUCCUUGAGCAUGGAGUGAUAACGGAGCCCAUGAUAAAUAUGCAAGGCACAGUGCUAAGUGCCUUAGGUAUAUUUUCCCAUUUAAUCCUCACAACAACCUUAUGAAGUAGGCACUAUUACAACUCUAUUACGCAGAAAACACUUUGCUCAGAGAGGUUAAGUCAUGUGUGCAGGCUCGGCCGGAUGGAAGAUUAACUGUGCCAACAAAUUAAUUAUGAGACCAUGAGGCUGAGAGACUCCAGCUCUUCAAAUGUGCUAGGUGAAAUGAACGACUCCUUCUUGACUUCAUUGUAGUUGCUUUAAAUAGCAAUGUUGAAUCUUCACGUAGGACUUUCAGUCAUGGCUUUGGACCAACUUCCUCUUGAAAAUCUAUGCCCUGAUAGGUCUUCAGUUACUCAUGGUGAAACAUAUAAGCCUUGAAAAACUUUUUGGCUGAAUGCAGAAGUCUCCAGGACCCUAAUGGAGGGAAGAUCUACAAGACAGAAUGAUUCCGGGUCCCAAAUGAACAUGUGAAAAGCUGCCUGCUGGUCAGAAACAUCCAUAUUGCAGUCUUUACGGCACAAAAAAUUAAAAUAUAUUAAGCCUC